rnacentral:tmRNA from 1 species
GGGGGUGUAAUGGUUUCGACGGAGAUUGUUCGGACGUAAACAGCCAUACGCGGCGGCGUCCGCGUUAAAACGCUAACUUAAACAAUUAAACGACAAUAAAGAAUUAGCUUACGCCGCUUAAUUAAAAGCGGCCGUCGAACCGGAAACUCUCGUCGCUCCGGACCUCGGCGUCAUUAAGGCGAGGAACUUUCACGGCUAAGCUUUGCCCCGCGGAAAGACUUCAUGAAGCUACCAAAGCCUAAGGGGCGUCAGCCCGCCUUUGGCCCAGGGAAUCUUUAACGGCUGACUGUUAUGGGAGAAAUUUACGUUCAGCGGUUUUCGGACAGGGGUUCAACUCCCCUCACCUCCAUAA